rnacentral:tRNA from 1 species
AUUAUUUUAGCAAAAAAUUGCAUUAAAUUUAGAAUUUAAUUAUAUACACACCCAUAUAAAUAAUA